GAUGAACGCUGGCGGCGUGCCUAAUACAUGCAAGUCGAGCGAAUGGAUUAAGAGCUUGCUCUUAUGAAGUUAGCGGCGGACGGGUGAGUAACACGUGGGUAACCUGCCCAUAAGACUGGGAUAACUCCGGGAAACCGGGGCUAAUACCGGAUAACAUUUUGAACCGCCUGGUUCGAAAUUGAAAGGCGGCUUCGGCUGUCACUUAUGGAUGGACCCGCGUCGGAUUAGCUAGUUGGUGAGGUAACGGCCACCCAAGGCAACGAUGAGUAGCCGACCUGAGAGGGUGAUCGGCCACACUGGGACUGAGACACGGCCCAGACUCCUACGGGAGGCAGCAGUAGGGAAUCUUCCGCAAUGGACGAAAGUCUGACGGAGCAACGCCGCGUGAGUGAUGAAGGCUUUCGGGUCGUAAAACUCUGUAGUUAGGGAAGAACAAGUGCUAGUUGAAUAAGCUGGCACCUUGACGGUACCUAACCAGAAAGCCACGGCUAACUACGUGCCAGCCGCCGCAGUAA
rnacentral:rRNA from 1 species